AUCGCUUCUCGGCCUUUUGGCUAAGAUCAAGUGUAGCAUCUUGAUAUCCCAAAAGAGAAAAAAAAAUCACCUUAAGUCCCUCAGUUGUUAACAGUGUGCCUGUUUGAUAUAUAUAUAUAUAUAUAUAUAUAUAUAUAUAUAUAUAUAUAUAUGUACAUACAUACAUACAUACAUACACACACACA